GUGUCACAUGCCCCUUUAAGGACUAUUACAUUAUAUAACUAAUUAGAUUACUUAACAUAUAUUUAGCUAUCAGACCUGAUGCCAGUCUCUGAGGAGGGGUGAGGUGGGCAAAGGCCCAGGACUUGGUCUCCUCGGGCCUUGAAAUUAAAAAAAACAAUAAUUUAUAUUAUGAAGGCGGCAUAUGACAUUAUCUAAUUUAAUGGAUUAAGGGUAUGUAAUAAGGUAAUUAACUUUAAAAAUCAAUUAAAAGAUAAAAUAGAUUGUAACCGGUUUAUGAAUUAUUUUAGAAGAUAAUUGACGAGGUAUGACCCGAAUCGGCUAAUCCGACCCGGUCAAUACCUACUAUUUUAUUAUAAACAAAUAAUCAUAAAAGGUUAUUCUAGAAUAUUCCACCUUUGCGUGGAAGCUGGCACAACCAAAUCUCCAACUUUUCGGGAAGAUCAUGCAAAUCCCUAACUUAUCGGGGCCCAUCCUAAGUUAGGGAAAACCCUAAUAGGAAACUAUAAAUAGAGGUAAACAUCCAAGGUAUGAUUCAUCUAAUCUCUCACCAUCUCUCUUUAUACUUACAUACUUUCCUUUGCUCCCAAAACCGAGACUUAUUCUCACGCCAGAGGGUGCCAAUUGUUCGGGUCACUGAUCAUUGAAGUCCUAGCCAAAUACUACCGUUUAGGUAUAAACUCCAUAUGAAUUUAAAAAAUACCAUGACUUGAAUCGUAAAAUAGUCAUAAUGUUUUAACAUCUGGAAUGAUUGUAUUGCUGUUCAAGUUAUAGUGUUUUAACAUCAUAUGAGGAUGAUUGUAUUGCUAUUCCAGAUGUUAAAACACAAUGACUUGAAUAACAAUACAAUCAUUCCAGAUGUUUAAACACCGUGACUUGAAUCACAAUACAGUGUUUCCAAAAGUUUAAAAUAUCACGCCUUGAAUCACAAUACAAUUAAAACACCAUUGUAUCAAUGAACAUAGACAAAACACCAUGGACUAAAACAUCCGAUUGAAACGUAAUUUUUUCUCUAUAUAAGUAAAGCAAUAUGGUAUUCAUAUUAAAAAUAAAAAAACGCUCAUUACUAUGGUGUAUUUUUUUAAGUUACAUCUAAAAAGCUUUUAACGUUUAAAAAAGACGGGGGAACUUGCAUGUGCAUUGCGUGUGAGUUUCUGAAUUUAAAACAUGCUAAAUUUACCUUUAUACCAUUAAUCUGGAAAAUUAAUUAGUUUAAUGAUAAACAUUAUUUACAGUUUUGUCAUUAUGAUCUCAACCAUUAGAUUCUAGAUCCAAGAGUGUAAAACACUUCUUACACACAACACACUUUUUAGGAUAACUCCAACUAUAUAUAUAGAGAGAGAGCAGGGAUCCUGCGGAAAGUGUGUUUUUCCUAGAAAGUCUAGGAAGCGAUCUAAGCCAUCCAAUGGGUGUGUUUAAUGGUUAAGAUGAAGCCAAUGACAAUCUUGUAAUUUUUUAGUUUAUUUAAUUCAUUGUUUUAAAAGACUAGGGACAAUUUUGUCAAUAUAUCGUGUUUUAAAUCAAUUAGAUAACCGUCAGUCAAACCCAGUCCCUAAUUUCACGCGAUUUUCCAUCUCUCUCUCCAAACCCAUCUUCGAAAAACCAAUCCCUACAAAAAAUAACUACAAUCAUAGAAGAAGAUAACUUUAGAAAGGAUGGAGAGCACCGGAUCAAAUGAAAACACUUCUCCAUCUCCACCAUCUCCGAGUUCAUCGUCACCAUUCAAAUAUUGUUCGUAUCAUCUCCGUUUUCUUGACGAUGUGUUUUAACAGCAAGCAAAUUAAUACAGUUGUGUUUUAGCAGCAAGCAGAUUCAUACAGUUGUGUUUUAACAUUCAGAUUCAUACAGUUAUGUUUUAACAACAAGCAGAUUCAUACAGUUGUGUUUUAGCAUUCAGAUUCAUACAGUUGUGUUUUAACAGCAAGCAGAUUCAUACAGUUGUGUUUUAACAGUAAGCAGAUUUAUACAGUUGUGUUUUAGCAUUC
rnacentral:lncRNA from 1 species